rnacentral:misc_RNA from 1 species
GAUGAAGAACGCAGCGAAAUGCGAUAAGUAGUGUAAAUUGCAGAAUUCAGUGAAUCAUCGAAUCUUUGAACGCACAUUGCGCCUUCCGGUAUUCCGGGAGGCAUGCCUGUCCGAACGUCAUCAAGCCCCUCGCCCGCAGCUGUUGCUUGCAACGGCCGCUCUGGGCGGUACAUGGCAGAUGGUCGCCUUAACGGGUGGCCACGGCCGAAAUUGAUUGGCAGAUCCUCAUUGACUGUGAUUGUGAUAAGAAUAUUACCUACAAUCCCCUGGCAUAGAGGUGUCUCGCCGUAAACGGAAAUCGCUCCCUCCACGGGGCGCGCUUACCAUCACCAUAUCUUUUGACUUCGGAUCAGGUAGGGAUACCCGCUGAACUUAAGCAUAUCAAUAAGCGGAGGA